rnacentral:rRNA from 1 species
AUUGAACGCUGGCGGCAGGCCUAACACAUGCAAGUCGAACGGUAACAGGAAACAGCUUGCUGUUUCGCUGACGAGCGGCGGACGGGUGAGUAAUGUCUGGGAAACUGCCUGAUGGAGGGGGAUAACUACUGGAAACGGUAGCUAAUACCGCAUAACGUCGCAAGACCAAAGAGGGGGACCUUCGGGCCUCUUGCCAUCGGAUGUGCCCAGAUGGGAUUAGCUAGUAGGUGGGGUAACGGCUCACCUAGGCGACGAUCCCUAGCUGGUCUGAGAGGAUGACCAGCCACACUGGAACUGAGACACGGUCCAGACUCCUACGGGAGGCAGCAGUGGGGAAUAUUGCACAAUGGGCGCAAGCCUGAUGCAGCCAUGCCGCGUGUAUGAAGAAGGCCUUCGGGUUGUAAAGUACUUUCAGCGGGGAUGAAGGGAGUAAAGUUAAUACCUUUGCUCAUUGACGUUACCCGCAGAAGAAGCACCGGCUAACUCCGUG